CAAAGGGCACGGCCGGGCGGGGGAGAGAGCGGCUCGUGGUCCCGCUACUACGGGAAGCGUUGCCGUGUCCCACAUCUCCGUGUUAAUGAUCACUUGGCAUUGUGUUUAUGGGACGAAGGAACUGAUUAGUGCCUCUUUAUGAUGUACCCAUGAAAAAAAUCUGCAUUCUGCCUGCGCUUUUGAAGAUAAUGCAAGUCUUUGAUAAUUUUCAUAUUUCUAUUCUUUAGUGAAGCAUAACAAAGCCUUACUUUUGCCGUUUCUUUCUUCACAUUAUAUUACUUUCUGAACUCAAAAAAUGGUCCGGAGGUUUUGCUGUGUUUCCUCUUGGCUCUGCAAGUCCAUUAUGCUGCAGUGAGUCUUGGAAGCCUUCAAGCUUUUCAUGUGCACACCUUUUAUUUUUUCUGAGUUAUUAUUUAAAUUUACCAUGAAUAUAUAUUUGAGGUGUUUUUACUUUGUUCUGUAAGGAUUGCCAAGUGAAUGUUAUCCCGUACAGUUCCUAUAUACCAUCUUUCUUAGCAGGAGUUUUUUUCUUGUUAAUUAUACCUCUGUGCAGUGCACAUAUUUAGGUUUUUUUUCUGGUCAGGUAUUUCCCAAUUUGUUUGAUCCUCCCCUUCUUUUCCCUAUUUCCAAUGGAUGCCUGUUACCAUAGAAUUCUUCUUGAAUGUGAAAAGGUUAUGUUAACCCCAUAAAAACCACUCUGAAGAAAAAUAAUUCCAACCCAGCCAAAACCAAUGCAUUUAGAAUCAGUCUUUGCACAAUAUUUAUCAUCACACGUAUUCAAGGAAAAAACCAAAGAUUUAUGUGCAGUUGCUCCCCCGCUGUCACUGCAUUUAUGGGUUACAACAUAGAACACAGUAGAGAACUCAGUAAAAUGUCUCCAUACCUAUAAAACAUAUUAUUCUCUGCCUAUUACUGCUCUUAGUAUUUGACAUCACAUACCUAUUCCUUGGCAGUGGUGAAUGUGGCUUUCUCUCUAUCUAUAUUCAGAUGAAAUAUUCUAUAAAAAUAUUCUAUAUUUUGGUCCCUUCAGAGCUCCUGUAAGAAUUAUUUUUCCCUUUUCAUGUGGCAUAUCUGGUUUUAAUCAAUUAAUUUUUGGCACAUCUGCUCUAUAGCUUUGCUUUAAUUUCAUUUCAAAUGUAUAGGUGCUAAUAUUCUUGAAAAUUAUUCAAUUAAAAAAAUUUAUUUUAUUUAUAUGGUUUAAUGAGAUAAGUCAUUCUGCCUUGCAAAAUGCCCAGUUCACAUAACUUGUUCGGUGUUAAUUGCCAUUUUGCCAAAAAGUUGCAAUCUCUUUUAGAAUCCAUUUCUUGAUGCUUUUUAGUUUACUAGAUCUCUUAGUGCGGUGCUUAUUUUGCAGUUAAUAAUUUCCCCAUUAAAUUAAGCCAUUGCUUACUUUUAAGUUAUAUUUUCUUGAUCUUCUCUGUAUAAGACCUCUUUAAAUAAUCAAGUUUUUACCAUUAUCAAGGGUCCAUUACUUCUUAAGUAUUCUUAAGACAAACUUGUAUGAAGAACUACAACAGGUAUCAGUGUAAUUUGUUCCUAAGCAAUACCUUAGCUUGAAAGGAAUAAACCCCACAGAUUAUUUAGAGUGAACUUUCAUUAUGACAAAUUUUACAUAGAAACUUUGUAGAUAUGACAACAAUUUACAAGUACAUAGAAUAGAUUCAUGCAUUGGGUUAUUUGGGGAAAUAUUCUAUAUUUCAUGGUUGUCUGAGUAAUGCUUACCCAAAUUUAUCUUUUCCACACCAGGUAGCUUAAUUUUCAUGUUUAUAUUUCAGCAUACUUUAUUUGUGUAUUACUUUUCUUACAUCUGUGUGUAUAAAGUAACAGCGUGUAUAUUAUUGAAGUAUUAGGACACUUCUGAAGAUAGACAAAAUUAAACCAAAAGGAGGAGCAAACAACAUGUUUACAGGAGCUCAAACCUUUCAAUGUUAUUGAAAAGAAAAAAUGAGUUCUAAGAAAUUUGAAUUCACUGAAUUCUGAAAUAACAUUUCAUUUUCUAUAUAAUAUCUGUUUUGGCCAGUGUCAUGUUUAAUUGCCAGUGUUCAUCCUUCACUCCUGGUGGUUCAUCUACAUGGAUUAUUAUUUUUACUCAGAACCAACAAGUGAGUAUGUGGACUACGUUUUUUUGUCUGUCAUCCAUCCAUCCAUCCAUCCAUCCAUCCAUCCAUCCAUCCUUUCCUGUUAAUCAAGACAGUAGGAGAAGAGCUUUUCCUGAUUGGGUUGCAUUAGUUGGAAGAGCCCUGAGCCUUGUUCCCUGAUGUGGGCAGGCAGUCAGGGCACACUGCAGGGCAGGAACAGGUUGGGGCAUUGUGGAGAGGAUCCACACAGGCUGAGGGUCAGAUGAAAGAGUUAACAGAAAGAAGAAGCCAGCAGGAUUCCUGUGUAUCUGUGAGAAGAAGAUAAAGGUAGAGGAAAACAAGGAACAUCUGUGCUGAGAAAAACACCAUGGAAAAAUGAGAUCUGUCUGUAUUUUUGAUUUUUGGGGAUACUUUCUCAAAACAGUGCUUCCACCAACGGACUUGGGGGUUAUGUGGUGAUGGCAAAUUAAAUGGGGUGCACUAUAAGGCCAGAAGGGUAUAAAAACACUGUGUACAGGCACAAUACAAUCUUGGAUGAAGUUUCUCACGGAUCUGCUUUGUGUGGCAUCUGCUCCAACAGCAACAAGGAUGGCAGGAAUGAGUGAGAGAAUGACUCCACUUCUUUGUCCACUCUAAGAGUGUCAGCAGAUUUUAGCAUUUAUCUUCCUCUCUCCAUCUGCUUUCAAUCUCUCAUUCUGCCAUUUCUCCCAACAUUCCUGUCCUUCCCAAAAGACAACCAUCCCCAUGAAGAGGCUCUUGAGAUAAUGUGAUUUUUCAAAUUUGUUCUUUCUUUAAUGAUCUGCUUUUCUUUUAAGUAAAGCUCUUAGCUGAGCUGAAGGAGUUACUGAUCUCUCUGGAUCUGCCAGCACAUGUAGUUUCAUGUCCUUAGGAGAAUUAAUAUUAACUCAGGAAGUCCCUGUGGUGUUUUUUAAAUCAGCUAAAAGAAUCCUGAUGGAAAUACUGAAAAUUUGAGAUACAGAUUUGAUUCAUUCCUGAAGCAAAAGCUUAUGAUAGUGCAGCUUGAUUUAGAUGAAAUAUUUGUGAGGGAAAGAAAUAAUCUAUUUUUGCAUCAUCUUCCUAGGGAGAUGAGCAUCCCAGAGCAGUAUCAUAUGAAAUGCACAAGCCCAGCUAAAAAUAGAGAUGGAUUUUUGCCAAGAGUGAUGAUCAACAUGACUAGACAUUACAGAAGUUGUCUAAUUCCAUGGAGAGAAAAAGAAAAUAUUUUUGAAAGUUGCAGUACAAGCAAAAUUAAGGCUUUGUGCACCCUUACUGACAUGGAGACUCCAAGCUGUCAAUCCCUGCCCAUCCCACGGUCCAGGAUUGUGAGGACAGGCUCCUCAGUAUGUCCAGUAGUUAUUCCCACAUAAUAAAGGGAAAUCAUACCUUUCACACCUCAAUAUGUGCCUAAUUUGCUGCCAAUUGCUCUGUCCUAAAUUGCUCCAUCCUAAUUUUCAUUCUCAUUUACCUGGACUAAUCCAGGUAGCUGUGUGCUCAAGGCCAGAGCUGAUACCCUUAGAGUUGCACUCCUCUAGGCAAAGCUGGACACCAGCAUGGAUCACAUGUCCAGUCCCAGUGGAGUACAUCUCUGACAGAGCAUUAAAAAUCACAUUAAAAUAAUAUAUGUUCUUUUUAGCUACGGUGUUUAAAAGUAUUCCCUUUUUAUGCAUUGAUGUGUUUAUGCAGAAACCCUCAGCGGGUCUUUCUGGUUAUCCCCAAAUUCAGAGACACAGACAAAGGACAAUUUAAGCAGAAAAUAAAACAAACAUAAAAUCCAAAACAACACCACACAGGAGAAAGAGAGUUACCAGUCAUUUACAAGGUCCUUCAGCAAGUAGCAGUCUACACUCAAACACAGGAUUAGGAAUUAAUGGAAACUUCACUGCCCAUAGACAUGUGGACUCAGACUUCUGGAUCCUAAUGAUUUGGAUGAUCAAAUGGGAAAUCCAACCAUCCUUUCGGUGAGGAACAAAAUAAUUCUUUGCUUUCCUGAUAUGCAACAGGGAACUUGCCAUGACCUUUAUUGUAUAAACAUUUUGGGCUCUCUAUCUUUGGGUGUUUUGGGUGUUAUUAAAUAACAACAGACUUCAGAAUUUUCAUUUAUUUACUUUUUAUCAACCAUAGUUUUCGAUUUCACUGAACUGUCCUCCUCUUAUGCCUGAUUCCUAGCUCGCUCUUCAGAACUGUCUCACCACCAUUUUCCACCUUUACUGCAUCUUCUGGUUUGAUCCUAAUUUAAAACAAAAUAAAAAUCUUCCCACAUUUGAAAAGCACAAAUAAAUAAAGCAAAACGUGUUCAAUGCUCAGAAGCACUACAGUGAAAGUUUAAUGUCUAGAACCCCCAGAAAAGGAACAGAGAAUAAACCAGGAUUUUGUAUCUUUGUACCAUUGCAGCAUUGUUUGAAAUAGUUCCACCCAGCACAAUGUGCACAUUUCUGGCCUCUAAAUAAACUAUUCCAAGAGGUAAAGAAAUUUCUGUGAAAAGUGAUAAAGUUGAUUUAAUGCUAAAAUGGCUUAUCUACUAAGCAUACUAGGACACCUUCAGAACAAUGACCACUAUUGACUGAAGAUGUUCUUUCUUAUCUUUAUCUGGCCUAGGAGGUCAAUGGUUAAAUCUAUCAAACUUAGUGAAGUCUAAUCUAAUUAUAAAAUUAGUUACGACCUAAAGAUUACUGGUAUCAGAAAUGCUGUCUGAAUUUCAUAGGCAUAUUCUUUCAUUUUCUUAGGUAAAUGGAUCCUUACUGUGUAGGCUUUUUUCAAAGCAGAAAGAUGAUGUGUGGAAAGAAGAAAUCAGUGCCAUCUCUUCUCACAGAGAUCAGUUCUGGACUACACAGCUUCUUGCACAAGUCCUAACACUGCUGGUAAAUAGCUCAUAAACCAAUCCAUUCCAAUAUAUGCAUGUCCUGAG